rnacentral:rRNA from 1 species
UACGUAGGGUGCGAGCGUUAAUCGGAAUUACUGGGCGUAAAGCGCGCGUAGGCGGCGCUACAAGUUAGGAGUGAAAUCCCGGAGCUUAACUUCGGAACUGCUUCUAAGACUGUAGUGCUUGAUGAUGGUAGGGGGUGGUGGAAUUCCUAGUGUAGAGGUGAAAUUCGUAGAUAUUAGGAGGAACACCGGUGGCGAAGGCGGCAUCCUGGACCAAUACUGACGCUGAGGAGCGAAAGCCAGGGGAGCAAACGGG